UACGAAGGGGGCUAGCGUUGCUCGGAAUCACUGGGCGUAAAGGGUGCGUAGGCGGGUCUUUAAGUCAGGGGUGAAAUCCUGGAGCUCAACUCCAGAUCUGCCUUUGAUACUGAGGAUCUUGAGUUCGGGAGAGGUGAGUGGAACUGCGAGUGUAGAGGUGAAAUUCGUAGAUAUUCGCAAGAACACCAGUGGCGAAGGCGGCUCACUGGCCCGAUACUGACGCUGAGGCACGAAAGCGUGGGGAGCAAACAGG
rnacentral:rRNA from 1 species